rnacentral:misc_RNA from 1 species
UCCCCGAUUCGCUAUAGUUUCCCGCGCCUCGUCAGACGCGUUUCGGGCAGAGCUCGCGCCGCUCGUGGCUGUCCGAGCACUUAUCGCGAUAUUCAGGUUAUAAAUACAUGCGGCUAUUUCAGUUCUAGUGUAUUGUGAGUGGAAUAUGAUUUUGUAUGGGCAUGACAGAACCAAGCAAAUUAUUUCGCGCUCAAAUGCCAAGCGGACUACUUUUUAUUUAUAGACAAUAUAAAUAAAUAAGCAUUUAAAUUAAACUAGUUACGAUACUUAAUAUACACGAAAAUAAAUGGCAUUUGUACGAAGAAAAAUAGUAAAAUAAGUGAUUGUGCGAAAGGAUUGAUAGAUUUAUACCGAGUGUGGCUGACAGAAAAGGAGAGAAGAUGUCGUUGGUUGCGCCGCGGAGAGUCCAGCUGGACUGGGCUCCUUCGAUCAUACCGUGGGAACAGGAGCCCACGUGCGAGAGGGAGGCGUCUUUCAAACAGCAGGCGCCGCACCAGUCUAACAGAUCAGAGUCGAGCUCGUCGUCGGCGGACACCGCGUCGCAGGGUUCCGGGUCGGCAGCCCCCGCGCACAGAGCGAGGCGACAUGAACCACAGAGGGAGGAACGUCGGCAGGAAGCGGCUAGCGCCCCGCGCAUACAACCCAACCCUUUAUUGAGGUCUCGCACCCUCCCGAACUUCGGGGGUCGUCAGUCGCGCGAGGCGUCUCGCUGCGACACCUCGCGCCGCGCUCACCACAUCACCAUGGCGUCCGAGGACCUGCUGCAGCCGGGGCACGUCGUCAAGGAGAGGUGGAAGGUAGUGAAAAAGAUCGGCGGCGGCGGCUUCGGCGAGAUCUACGAGGGUCUGGACCUGGUGACGCAGGAGCAGGUGGCGCUCAAGGUGGAGUCCGCGCGGCAGCCCAAGCAGGUGCUCAAGAUGGAGGUCGCAGUGCUCAAGAAAUUGCAAGGCAAAGAGCACGUGUGUCGUUUCAUCGGGUGCGGACGCAACGCUCGCUUUAACUACGUGGUGAUGCAGCUGCAGGGCCGCAACCUCGCCGAGCUGCGUCGCGCCCAGCCGCGCGGCGCCUUCUCGCUCUCCACCACCCUCAGAUUGGGCCUGCAAAUACUCAAAGCGAUAGACUCUAUUCACUCCGUAGGCUUCCUACACAGAGAUAUUAAACCUAGUAACUUCAGCAUAGGCCGGCACCCGUCGAACUGCCGCAAGGUGUACAUGCUGGACUUCGGGCUGGCGCGGCAGUACACCACCAGCAACGGCCAGGUGCGGCCGCCCAGGGCUGCUGCCGGCUUCCGGGGAACCGUCCGCUACGCAUCAAUAAACGCUCACAAGAACAAGGAGAUGGGCCGACACGACGAUCUGUGGUCGCUCUUCUAUAUGCUCGUGGAGUUUGUCAAUGGUCAGCUGCCGUGGAGGAAGAUCAAGGAUAAGGAGCAGGUGGGGCUGAUGAAGGAGAAGUACGACCACCGGCUGCUGCUGAAGCACCUCCCGUCCGAGCUGCGGCAGUUCCUGGAGCACGUGCAGGCGCUGGAGUACGCCGACGCGCCCGACUACGCCAUGCUGGCAGCCCUGCUCGAGCGAUGCUGCAAGCGCCGCGGGAUACGGGAUACUGACCCCUACGACUGGGAGAAGGAUGCGGUGCCGCUGUCCCGCACGCGCGCGCACGCGGCGCCCGACGCGCCCGCGCCGCAGGACCUCGCGCCUGAUACUACCCGUCGGCGCGUGGAGACGGAGGCGACGACGGCCGUGGCGACGGACACGCAGACGCCGCACAAGGACAAGCUCGACAAGCGCCACGCCGCCUCGCCGCGCCACCAGCCGCACCAUCUCAACGGAUAUUCGAGCACGGACAAGGGCGCUAUGGAGAAGGAGGCGGAGGCGGCGCCCUCGCCCGACAGACACGCCAAGCUGCAGCACCAAGAGACGAGCAACUCUGCGGUGACGGGCACGAGCACGCGGCCCGAGCGACAGAGCGUGCCGCCCUGCAAGCCCAGGCCGCCCGCACCCGGCGGCGGUCCGACGCUGGCGCGGCUGCGCGUGGUGACGGCGCCGCCCACCUGCGUGCAGGAGCUCGCCUCCGCCGCGCCCAACACGCCCGGUGAGGCGGUGAGUCCGCGGAUCAUAGCGGCCGAUGUGGACAGCGUGCACUCCGACACACACUUCAAGAGAGGAGCUCGUCGCACGGGCCGCGGCCGCGCGGAUCAGAGCUACACGCAGUUCGCCGUCAUGGACGACGAGAACGUCUCCGCGCUGCAGCAGGUGACGAAGGGCGGCGCGCUGACGCUGGUGUCGCUGUGGAAGUCGCAGUUCGACGACUCCGAGGAGACCACCGACAACGAGUGGAAGCAGGAGCAGCUGCAGUCGCCGGAGCGAGCGGCGCGCGGCUCGGCGCUGUCGUCCAGCUCCCACGCGCCGCGCACCCACGCACCCACCACGCACUCCACCACCCACCAGCACACCGUGCAACACCAUCUGCUGCACCAGGCGGCGCAACAAACAGAGAAGACAUCGCCACCGCCCACAGCCACCGCCCCCGCGCCGCCCACCGCGGCCGCCCCCAUCCCGCCUCCGCCGGUGGUGUCAGCCCCGGCCGCAUCACCCCGGGUGGUCCGGCAGGUGUCGGAGACGCCGCGCAAGAAGCUGCACUGCCUGUAUAUACCGGGCAUCGACGCGUACCCCAAGCUGCAGCCUAGCUUGCCACGGUGUUGGUCGCUGCCUGCUAUCGGCUGCAGAGUCCGUUCCCUGCGGGCGCCGCUGCUGCAGCAGGCGUCGUUCGACGGCAGCGGCGGCUGCGUGCGCUACCGCCUGGACGUGAUGCGCGGAGUAGCUGCAAGACACGACCACGACGUGCCCAAGCCGCAGCGAGCGCUCAGUGCACCCAGUCUAUCAAGCUCCUCCAGCAGUGGCGCAGCCCCGCGGGCGCCGGCGCCGGGCGGCGAGGGCGCGACGGUGUCGAGCCGGCUGGAGAUCCGCGUGCGCGCGCCCGACGCCGCCUCGCCCGGACACUCCGAUUCAAUCGGUAGUGAGCGGCGAGCCGCGCAACCACGACGAGGCGUCCGUCUACUACGACGCCACGGAACACCACCGGGACAAACGGUCGUCGACGCGCAGCGCGGAGAAGAGUCAGAGUCCAGCGGUGGAGAGGACACGGUUAGACGCUAUACCGGACAGGAGCAUUAUAGCAAUUAAUAAGAAGGAAGUGUCCAGUGCAGCCGGCGACGGCUCUCAGAGCUUGAGAGAUCGGUCGUCAGGCAGCGCCAGCACGUCGCGCAUCCCGGUGGCGUGCGGCGCGGAGCAGCGCCUCGCCAAGUGCGCCAGCUGGAGCGGCGACGGCGCCCUCGCGCCCGACGUCACCGACCUCACGCCCG